GCCUCAUUCAAAGCUUGUCUCUCGACCAAAAGUAAAGGAAUUUCCUGUUGCACCUUCAUAUUCAAACCUUCAUAAAAUUCUCGUAUCUCAAAGUAAAGAGGUUGGCAUUCAUGAGUAUCCAUUAUUGCAGAGUCAAGGCACUCAAGACAUAGCUUUCGACCAUCAUCAAGGGAUAGAUAUCUUGUGUCUCUGGACUCCAUUCUUUCACAACUGCAGCACCUAGGAGUCCCAUCACGCUCAUGUGAGGGGCAAUAUUUUUGUUUCCAGAAAGGAUGUGCUCUAUACUCGAUGAGACCAGAUGAAUUUGUUGGAAUAUUGUUGUUGCAGACAUCACAUCUUGGGUGAUGGCGCUCGUUAUGGCAGGAUUUGUGGUAAGGACGAUUCUUGGACAUAGAAAACUCGGGAUCAGUAAUUGGCUGAUUGCAAGCAUCGCAACGGAAGCAUUCAGGAUGCCAAACUGCACCCAUGCAAUUUAGAUAGCGUCCACGACCAAUUUCAGUAUUGCACCCAGCGCAAAUCCUAUAGCCAGAUGGAAAGAGAAAUGGAUAAGGUGAAAUCGCAUUUCCAAAAUCAUAUUGUGACUCAUUUAAACUUUCUUGAAGAGCUUUAGCAAGUUGUUCAUCCUCCUCUAGUUGAGCUCUCACAUGCCUUUCAUCUUCCUCAGCCCUCACACACCUUUCAGCUUCCUCUGCUCUUGCACGCCUUUCAGCUUCCUCUGCUCUUGCACGCCCUUCAGCUUCCUCUGACUGAGAGGAGCCAUCAUCUUCCUCUGCAAUGACCUUUUUCCCUUUUUGAUCUUGUUCUGAAAGAGAAAGUGCAAUAGCACAAUCAAUAUCUUCUCUGUCAAAAUCUGAUACAUCAUCCACUGAAUGGUGAGGCUCAUCCCAAUAUCUAUCUUCUGCAUACUUCCCAAGAUACUGCCCUUUAUAGCUAGAAACUCUUAAAAUUUUGGUUAGCCAACCCAUCGCUUUUCAAUAUCAGUCCAGCAAAUUUUGUCCUGAAACUAAUCAAGGAUUUGCAGAAACAAUAGAAUCUCAUGAAUCCGAGAUCAGAUAAAUCACCCGAUCCCCAAGAAUGCACAAUCAAGAAAAGAAAAUUACAUGACAUAAGAAAGCAUAUUCGCCAUCAUUUGUAGCAGCAAACAAUCCUGCAAAAUACAUAAAACUUUAUUGACAAAAUAAAAAGUUCACCCAUCAGAUAAAAAGAAU
rnacentral:misc_RNA from 1 species